AUUUCCUUCUAUCCUGUCCUUAAUUUAGUUUUGAAAUCACAUUUGAUGAUUCAUUUCACAAUUCCCAAUAUGUUGAACUCCCGGCCAUUUGUUGACUUCAGUAUUCUUAAUGCUAAUAAUCUCACGGGAGAGUUGCCACUCGCUCUCACUAAUCUGACCAAAUUAACGGAACUUAGGAUUAGCAGUAACAACUUCAUCGGAAAAAUACCUGACUUUUUCCAUAGUUGGAAAAACCUUCAGAAAUUGGACAUCCAAGCUAGUGGUCUCUAUGGGCCCAUUACUUCUAGUAUUUCAGUCCUUAGUAAUUUAACUGAGCUAAGAAUUAGUAACCUACUUGGUGACGGUUCUAAAUUUCCGCCCUUGAGUAACAUGAGGGGAAUGACAAGAUUAAUGUUGAGGAGCUGCAAUCUCUCUGGAUCAAUCCCUGCAUAUAUAUCACAAAUGCCAGGACUCAAAAUUUUAGAUCUCAGCUUCAAUAGAUUAGAAGGAAAUGUUCCAGAUUUUAAAGAUCUAGCAAAUCUGGAAUACAUGUUUCUGACAAGCAACUUGCUCACUGGGGCUAUUCCGGAGCGGAUCCUAGACAGAGAUCCUCGCGACCAACUAGAUCUUUCUUACAAUAACUUUUCAGAAAGCUCUAUGGGACCUACUUGUCGAGAUACCCUAAAUGUGUUUGAAAGCUCUCUUGGAUGGGACAACUCAAAUACUGGGGAGUGCCAAAAGAACAUUCCUUGCACAAAAGACUGUUAUUCUGUGCAUAUAAAUUGUGGCGGAAAAGCUAUCACCAGUGGAAACAUAAAGUACAAAGAGGAUCAGGAUGUAGCAGGUCCGGCAAAAUUUGUUCUCGUGAGUGAGAACUGGGGAAUAAGUACAAGUGGACUAUUUUGGGAUACUAACAGUGCCUCAAAUGUAUACAUAGCAAACAAUGUAUCAACACUCAGAAUGAACAGUUCUGAAUUAUACACGAGUGCACGCCUCUCUCCCCUUUCUAUCACCUAUUAUGUGUGUUGCUUGGCAAAUGGGAAUUAUAGCGUGACAAUAUCCUUUGCAGAGAUAGUAUUCAGGGAGAAUAGAUCCUUUUAUAGUCUUGGAAGACGGAUAUUUGAUGUUUAUAUCCAGGAAAAACUGGUGUUAAAGGAUUUUGAUAUUGAAAUUGCCGCACAAGGGGUUGAUAAAAGUGUGUCUAUGGCAUAUAAAGCAGUUGUGAGCAAUAAAGUUUUACAGAUCCACUUCCAUUGGGCUGGAAAAGGGACGACAGCUGCUCCAAAGAGAGGAAUGUAUGGUCCUCUCAUAUCAGCCAUCUCUGUGGAAUCUGAUUUCAGUCCCCCUGUGAAGGUUGAGAUAUUUAUCGUGAUUGGAGCUGUAGUAUCAGUGCUAUUCCUCAUUCUAAUGAUUCUAGGUAUUCUUUGGUGGAAAGGAUGCAUAGGAGACAGGAUAUCAAGGGAAGAAGAACUGAGAGGAUUAGAUCUGCAAACUGGUUUUUUCACUUAUAGGCAAAUCAAAGCUGCCACUACUAACUUCGAUGCUGCAAACAAGAUUGGGGAAGGAGGUUUUGGAUCUGUCUACAAGGGCAUACUGUUAGAUUAUACCAUCAUUGCAGUUAAGAAACUUUCUUCAAGAUCAAAUCAAGGAAAUCGUGAAUUUGUGAACGAAAUUGGCAUGAUAUCUGCUUUAAAACACCCGAAUCUUGUUAGAUUGUAUGGAUGUUGUGUUGAAGGAAGUCAACUAUUCUUGGUAUAUGAAUAUAUGGAAAACAAUAGCUUAGCACGUGCUUUGUUUGAGGAUACAUGGCACCCGAAUAUGCAUUAUGGGGUUAUUUAACCUACAAGGCAGAUGUCUAUAGUUUUGGAGUAGUUGCGUUGGAAAUUGUUGCAGGGAAAAACAACAUGAAAUAUCGACCAAAUGAGAAUUAUGUAUGCCUUCUAGAUUGGGGCCUUGUUCUACAAAGAAAGGGUGAUCUAAUGGAGCUAGUAGAGACCCAAAGCUAGGCUCCGAUUUCAACAAGGAGGAGGCUAUUAGAAUGAUCAAAGUAGCUCUACUUUGCACCAAUCCAUGUCCAGCGCUUAGAAUCACCAUGUCUGCAGUGGUAAGCAUGCUCGAAGGCCGAACUGUUGUUAAUGAAGAUAUCAUGGAUCCAAGUAUAUAUGGUGAUGAAUAUAGGUUUGAAGCUUUAAGAGGCCAGUUUGAUCAGAUCCAACUAGUAAGGAAGAGCUUAAGUGGAGCUGAGAGCCUAAUUCAUUCGUCAUCAGAUCCGGCAUGGAUUGGAACUUCUUCUUCUGCCCAGGACCUCUAUUCAAUCAAUCUUGAUAGUCGAUAAUGUUAACAAAUAUUUUUCUCACCAUGGAAACUGAUUUUUAUAAUGAGAAGGGCUAGAUUUAUAAAGAAAUCUUACAAUAGCAAAUUUAGAGAAUUAUGUGGUUUGAUGUGAUACGUUAAAUCAAUUUUAUAAUAAAAAAUAUUUUUACAAUCUAAUAUGUUACAUCAAAUUAUAUAAGUUUGUAAAUUUACUUUUGAAAGAUUUCUUUGUAAGAAUUUUUUUUUCUAAUAAGUAGGUAGAUACUAUUUUUAUUGGUGAUCCAAUAGCUAAUGAAACAGCCAUGUGCUUUUUAAGUUCAUAAUGCUGCCUGAGGGUUUUGGAAGAACAGUGAGGAAACUUUUAUGUAUAAAUUAUAUAUAAAAUUGUAUAAUUGUAUCAAAUUGUACUUUUCUUA